CCUACGGGAGGCAGCAGUGGGGAAUAUUGGACAAUGGGCGAAAGCCUGAUCCAGCAAUUCCGCGUGUGUGAAGAAGGCCUUCGGGUUGUAAAGCACUUUAGUGGGGAAGGAACAGCUUGGCCACACCAAGCCUUGACGGUACCCCAAGAAUAAGCACCGGCUAACUCUGUGCCAGCAGCCGCGGUAAUACAGAGGGUUGCAAGCGUUAAUCGGAUUUACUGGGCGUAAAGGGUGCGUAGGUGGUUUUUUAAGUCGGAUGUGAAAGCCUGGGGCUCAACCUCAGAAUUGCACUCGAUACUGGGAAACUAGAGUUCGGUAGAGGGCGGCGGAAUUUCCGGUGUAGCGGUGAAAUGCGUAGAUAUCGGAAGGAACAUCAAUGGNGAG
rnacentral:rRNA from 1 species